UACGUAGGGUGCGAGCGUUGUCCGGAAUUACUGGGCGUAAAGAGCUCGUAGGUGGUUUGUCGCGUUGUUCGUGAAAACCGGGGGCUUAACCCUCGGCGUGCGGGCGAUACGGGCAGACUUGAGUACUGCAGGGGAGAUCGGAAUUCCUGGUGUAGCGGUGAAAUGCGCAGAUAUCAGGAGGAACACCGGUGGCGAAGGCGGAUCUCUGGGCCGUAACUGACGCUGAGGAGCGAAAGCAUGGGGAGCGAACAGG
rnacentral:rRNA from 1 species